CCUACGGGUGGCAGCAGUGGGGAAUAUUGCACAAUGGGCGCAAGCCUGAUGCAGCCAUGCCGCGUGUGUGAAGAAGGCCUUCGGGUUGUAAAGCACUUUCAGCGGGGAGGAAGGCGUUAGGGUUAAUAACCUUGUCGAUUGACGUUACCCGCAGAAGAAGCACCGGCUAACUCCGUGCCAGCAGCCGCGGUAAUACGGAGGGUGCAAGCGUUAAUCGGAAUUACUGGGCGUAAAGCGCACGCAGGCGGUCUGUCAAGUCGGAUGUGAAGUCCCCGGGCUCAACCUGGGAACUGCAUUCGAAACUGGCAGGCUAGAGUCUUGUAGAGGGGGGUAGAAUUCCAGGUGUAGCGGUGAAAUGCGUAGAGAUCUGGAGGAAUACCGGUGGCGAAGGCGGCCCCCUGGACAAAGACUGACGCUCAGGUGCGAAAGCGUGGGGAGCAAACAGGAUUAGAUACCCCUGUAGUC
rnacentral:rRNA from 1 species